rnacentral:ncRNA from 1 species
UAUUUUAUUUAAAACAUAAAAUGAGUGUUAAAAAUUAAAAUUAAAACAAGUAAUCAUUUUUGAGUUUUAGUAAUUAAUUAACUAAGCUUGGCUCUGACUUAAUAAUAUAACGAGAACAUAGUAAUACACAUGGUUUUUAUAGAUAGAGGUGAGGUAAGAAUAAAUGUAGUUUAAAAUAAAUUAUAUAACUUUACAUAAUUUCUUAAAGUAUUAUAGUUAUAAAAAAUGCUUUGAAAAGUCCCACUAACACCAGUGCUGAAGGUUAAUUUAAUAAGGGCGAAAGCCUGAAUUAACUUCGUACAUUAAAUCAGGUUAACUUGGUGCCAGCAUCCGCGGUUAUACCAAGUGAUUAAGUUAUAUUUCUAGGUAAAAAGACAGUUAGGUUUAUAAAGUAACUUUAGUUUAUUAAACAUCUAUAAAAAAGUAAAAUUUGUAUAUAGAUAGCUAAUCUAAAAAUAGCUUAUAAUACUGAAGCUGUGAUAAUCUUGAGGGAAACUGGGAUUAGAUACCCCAUUAUUCUUGAUUGUAAAUAUAAUUAAACUUACCAGAGUACUAUGAAUAGUUAAAAAAUUUAAAACUCAAAGGGCUUGGCGGUGUUUUAGACCUAUCAGGGGAACUUGUCUCGUAAUCGACAAUCCACGCAAUAUCUAACCUUAUUUUGUAAUCAGUUUGUAUACCGUCGUCGUCAGGUAACUUUUAAAAACAUAGAAGUUAGCAAUUAAAAUUAGUUUGAAUUAAGACGUCAGAUCAAGGUGCAGCCUAUAAUAAGGAGAGGAUGAGUUACAAUUAUUAGAGUUAUAAAUACGGAAAUUUAAAUGAAACUUAUUUUGAAGGAGGACUUGAAAGUAAACUAAAAUACAUAAAUAGUUUGAAUAAGGCUCUGAAACGUGCACACAUCGCCCGUCGCUCUCGUUGAAAAAUGAGAUAAGUCGUAACAUAGCAGGGGUAAUGGAAAUUGUCCCUAGAUG